rnacentral:lncRNA from 1 species
AGGGAAGAGCCACAGCUCUGGAGAGCACUCUUUUCUUCUGGUCCAUUAUUUUCCCUGAAGAGACCCCUGACGCCUAAAGGUAAGGCAGGAGCACUUUCUGCUUAUUCCCAUCCCAGCUUCUUCCCAUGGCUAGGAGCCUUCUGCACCUUCAUUUCCAGUCCCUUCACAGGAACUUGUCUCUCAUGAAUAGGCACCAAGCCUCCCACAAAAGGAAUUCACAGUUUCCAGUCCCAGUUCCCACACUGAGCAAAGUGUUUCACAUCAGAGGCACUGUGGGGGGCUCCACAAUGUAGCUGUAACUUCACAUCCAAACUCCUCAUCAUCAGCCUCCUGGAUGUGCACAGGUCCCCCAUAUCCCACACGUUGCACUGAGCAACCCCUGGGGGGAGGGGACAAGUGCAUGGAACAAUGUAAAGAGCACACACUAGGGCUGUGCAGUGCACAAUCUGCGCAGCUGUACAAAGCGGCCCUGGCAGAAACUAUGUCUUGUAUGAUUCAUUACCCUCCCGGCCUCAUGCUGAGCAACUAAAAUGCCCUUUAUAAAUAUUAUUGAUUCACUGGCAUUUCUAAGUGAAGUGUUUUCCUUCAAUGAGAAAAACAGUAAAAGUCAACAAGGAAAGAAAAAGACUCUGGUGAAUAUUAGAUAAAUGCUGCAGCUCCUUGGAUCAGAUCACGUCCACUCUGGAUGUUCGUAAUUGCACAGUAGGGAUAAAACGACCUGACUUAUGCAGUCGUCUCUGGGAAUGGAAGGGAUUAGGUGCUACUUGAGAUUUUGAUGUUCCUCCUUUCUGUCCAUGUACGAGCAUCACCUUAUAAUACUUAUAAUAACCUUGCCCCUUUCAUUUUUUCCACUUAAUGACAUUGUUCUCCCCAGAUUGCCACUUUUCGUUGGAAACCAAUAAGUACCUACAGAUUUAUUGAGUUAGUAACAAUGAUUGUCUUCUUCCUUAGACCUUCCAUAGAUGAGCCAGUGCAAGAUCAUACUGCCAAAGGUCGAGAUCAGGAGGGUGUCAGAGGAAAGAACCUUCCUCGGUGCCUACGGGGCACGCACCACUUCCUAGGACUGAUCUAUAUAGGUCACGAGGCCUGUUUGUUAGAGGAGAGGAGUAGAACUGUCAACCAGCUGCACUCCAGCCUGGGUGACAGGGCAAGACUCUACCUCAAAAUAAAUAAAUAAAUAACAUCACUAAACAUCCAGAGGGGUAAAAAUGGGGUAAAAUGGGGUAAAAAAUGUCAACCAACCGUCUUUCCCUGUACACCAAAUACCUAGACGUCAAAAUUACAACCAGAGCUUGCUUGAUGACUGGGGAUGCCAAGUUGGAGUGCUUGCAGGUGGAUACAUAACAGGAUAUACCAACCCAAGAAUAGGGAGAGUGGCAUCCAUGGCGCAGCAGACAUGCUGCAGGAUGGAAUUUGAAAGGCUCAGCCUGCUCCUGGCACUUCCAGGUUUUUUUUCUUCUGUUCCCCAGCCUGUCUCUCACUUUCGAUUCAUAUACUCCUUCACUACACUAUAAAGUACAAGUGAAUAGAUUCCAAAGAUUCUGUUUUGUCCCCUUGGGAUUACUCCCUGUCGUGCCUGAGUACAAGUUCUUGUGGUUCCAAGCCCUCUAGAGCCUCAUCCACAGAUGAUUGCUUGGUUUGCUCCUAACCUCCAGGUGUGGAUUUUCCCAAUUUGAUUCCCAAAGGGAAACUUUUCAUCUGGGUUCCAGGGAAACAUUAGACUGGCUGCCCCGGUUCAGUGUCUCUUUCCUGCUUUUUUUUUGUUUUGGUUUGGUUUGGUUUUUGAGACUGAGUCUCGCUCUGUCGCCCAGGCUGGAGCACAGUGGCAUGAUCUCGGCUCACGGCAACCUCCGCCUUCCAGGUUCAAGUGAUUCUCCUGCCUCAGUCUCCCAAGUAGCUGGGAUUACAGGUGCCUGCCACCAGGCCUGGCUAAUUUUUGUAUUUUUAGUAAAGACAGGGUUUCACCAUGUCGGCCAGGCUAGUCUUGAACUACUGACCUCAAGUAAUCCACUCACUUUGGCCUCCCAAAGUGCUGAGAUUACAGGCAUGAGCCACUGCCUCUGGCCUUUUUCCUGCUUUUAAAGAGCUGGUGUGAAAAAGAGUGUGAGACAAUGCCUGCAACAUUCCCACACUCGUGCUUGGCACAAUUAGAUGGUCUAUAAUGUUGGUUUCCUUUUCCAGGAGUAAUAAAGCAUGUUUAGUACCUCUGUGCUAUGAUCUAAACAUCUGUGUCCCCCCUCAGAAUUCAUACUGUUGAAACUUAAUCCCCAAGGUGGUGCUAUUAAGAGGUGAGGCCUUUGGGAGGUAAUUAGGUCCUAAGAGCUCCACCCUUGUGAAUGGGAUUAGUGCCCUUAUUAAAGAGGCCUGGGGGAGCCUGCUCAUCCCUUCCGCCAUGUGAGGACACAGAAGGUGCCAUCUGGGAGAAGCGAGCCCUUGCCAGACUCCGAAUCUACUGGUGCCUUGAUCUUGGACUUCCCAGCUGCCAGAAGUAUGAGCAAUCAAGUUCUGUUGUUUGUAAAUUACCCAGUCUAAGGUAUUUGUUAUAGCAGCCCGAAUGGACUAAGACACUCUCCAUAUCCCAUAGCAUUAUCAUAGAGAAAAGGGGACAGGUGCAGAUGUCCCCGGGAGAGCUUUUGUUGAGUAACUGGAGGCAUGCAAACCCCAACCCAAUCUCAAAUCCUAACUAAGAAUCAAAGUGUGACAACUGUGUGUUAGGGAGACCUGGAGUGGCAGGUGUGCCUUGGAUGUGGAUUCUCAGAGACAGCAGUGUUGACGCCUUGCUGGACUAAUCCGUGACCACCCACUAUGGCAGGGACAGUGAUUUACUCUCCCAGCUAAUGUGAAAGCUCUGGUCAGAUUGCAUUCCAACAAAACCUCUAACUCAGAACUGCAGAGAUGCUCGAGAAUCCAACAGAAAGUCCACUUUGAUAUAAAGCAUGUUCCAAGGCAGUUGGCUAUCUUUGCCUCCUGCCCUGGAGAGCAAUAACCAGGCCUUAUGUUCACUACCCUGAGAUGGAGGAGAGCAUGUAAAAGAAAAUAAAAUUGUUGUCUUUUACUUUUCUUCGUUUUCUUUUUUUGUGAGACAGAGUUUCACUCUGUUGCCCAGGCUGGAGUGCAAUGGUGCAAUCUCGGCUCACUGCAACCUCCACCUCCCAGGUUCAAGCGACUCUCCCGCCUCAGCCUCCUGAGUAGCUGGGAUUACAGGUGUGCACCACCAUCCCUGGCUAAUUUUUUGUAUUUUUAGUAGAGACAGGGUUUCACCAUGUUGGCCAGGCUGGUUUUGAACUCCUGACCUCAGGUGAUCCACCUGCCUCGACUUCCCAAAGUGCUGGGAUUAUAAGCGUGAGCCACCCUGCCUGGCCAGCUUUUACUUUUCAGUGAGAAACGAAAUGUACAAGGCAUUCCGAGGGAACAUUUUACCCAUAUGCAUCCAGGACCCAAUGAAGAGGCCGCCAGCCCCUCCUGUAGCCUCAGAACUGUGAGUCCAUCUCUGUAAACAGGUGAGGCAGCUGGAGAAGCACUGGUGCCACCCAUUCCACCUGCAGCCCCCAAGCUUGAAAGUGGUUGGCAUGGAAAAGGAAUAACCCUUACCUUUAGGAACAAAGAGAGGUGGAGUCCAAGGACCUUUCCAAUACUAUCUGAGCUGUAAACACAAAGCUGUAAACAAAGCUAUUUAUGGAGCACCUCUCACGUGUUGACACUAGGCUGGCCACUGGGUAUGUGUAAACUCAUUUGAUCUUCAGAUAACACAGAGGGGUCAGUGGUAUUAUUAUCCCCAUUUUCCAGAGGGAAGACUGAGGCUAGCAGGGGUAAGCUGUUGAUUCACCCAAGAUCACUCAGCUAGGAAGUGGCUCGAGCAGGAUUUGGACACGGAUCCAUCUUACACUUCCCAUUCGGGCUCCGCUGUCGGUGCCUGCAGGAAAGGGUCUGUGGCAGCACGGAUUAUAUAAGGCUUCCAAAACUUCAUAACCUCCUGUGCUUGUUAUUUUUGUCUCUCAGCUGUCUGUGUCCCCACUGUGACAAGUUGAGAAUAAAAAAUCUUCAAACAAGAGGAGUCCAUCUGCUUGUCUUUAGAGGCAGCAAGAAAAUAAAUCUCUUGAUGGAGAUGGGGUCUCACUAUAUUCCCCAGGAUGGUCUCCAACUCCUGGACUCAAGCAAUCUUCCCACCUCAGACUACAGGCAUGAGCCACCAUGCCCAGCCAUAUUGUUCAUUUUUAACCCUGUCUCAGUGUGGCCUGCUCCCAGAACUGUUUCUCCUGACUUCUCAUUUCACCAAGAAGACAUGGACUCAGAAAAAUGAAGAGAGAAACACAAAGACACAGGAGCAGCAACCAAGCCCCUCUUCUCCAGGCAAUCAUCUGACUUCAAUUGGCAUAGACCCCUUAGGGGUGUGGACACUGUCUGAAAGUAUCUGGAGAGACCAAGUUUCAGCAGCCACUAAGCUGUCAAGGCUCUUUAAAAAUCUGAUUCCUGGCCAGGCACGGGGGCGCACGCCUGUCACCCCAGUACUUUGGGAGGCUGUGGUGGGCAGAUCACUUGAGGCCAGGAGUUCUAGAUCAGCCUGGCCAACAUGACGAAACCCCAUCUCUACUAAAAAUAUGAAAAUUAGCUGGGUGUGGUAGUGCACACCUGUAAUCCCAGCUACUCGGGAGGCUGAAGCAGGAGAAUCGCUUGAACCCAGAAGGCGGAGGUUGCAGUGAGCCGAUAUCGCACCAUUGCACUCCAGCCUGGGCAACAGAGUGAGAUUCUGUGUCAAAAAAAAAAAAAAAAAAAAAUCUGAUUCCACUGUUCUGAGUGUGAGGCUGUCCAAGCCUCCACUGUUUUUCCUCUGUGCUCUGAGCCCAGACUGAAAUCUGUAGAGAGUGGCAACGUGUGGGAUGGAAAGAAAAUGAGCUUUGAGGUCUAACAGGAAUGGGGCUGAAUCCCACUCCUGUGACUUAGGAGCUAUGACUUUCCCUGCAGGGCUCUGCCAUGAUUAAAGGAAAUAAUCUAUAUACAUGUGCCAGUGCACACAGUAGCUGCUCAAUAUAGGAAAGUAGUUUGUUUCGAUUCAUGUGAUUGUGAAUCUCGAACAUACCUGUGCUUGUAUCUUGUCACAGUCGCUUCGUCCCUGGGUGACAUCCAAUCCAUCCUUUCAGUCCUAGGUUAACUGAUACCUCCUCUGGGAAGCAGCACCUGAUUUCCAAGCCAAAUAAGACAUCACAUGGAAAUAUAACCAUGUCAUUGCCCCAUGCAAAAUUAUCUGGUGAUUCUCCAUUGCCUAGAGAACAAAAUUGAUGUCUCCUAAGCAAGAACAACAAGGCUCUUUCUGAUUUAACAAUUGCCCCCAGUUCUUCCCCAAACCCCGCCCUCAUUUAAUAUUCCAGCCAUAUGCAUCUAUGGUGGCUUCCUGAAUACAGCCAGCUCCUGCAUACUUCCCUAAUGCUAAGGUCCAUGCCAUCAAACUUAGGAGGUUGGAUCAACUUGCACUUGAAUUUCUGGAACACAAGCAUGCAAAAUGCAGAAACUGGCUGUACCCUGGUGACAGGGGAAAAGGCGUCCCUCCCAUGGGUGGAUCAGAAAUCAAGGGCUCUGCCGCUGCUCUUUGAGGGUAGUGGGUAAGAGUGUGGUCCUUGAACAGAAUCAAACCUGGCCUAACUCUUACUUGUCACUUACCAGCAAUGUAAUCUUGGCUGUGUCUCUGAACUCCCAUUUCUCUAUCUGGGGGAGGGAAAUGGUAAGAACACCCCUAAACUGUUAGAGGAAGGAAUGUCUGGCAUAUAGCAGGUGCUCAAUAAAUGUCCAUUCUUAUUAGAAUUUCUGGAAGAAACAGGCAAUGGUUCCCUGAAAUACCACUGGACUGUCACAAGCAUUUCAGUUGGGUUUCAUGCACUGUCUGAAGAGAUUGAUCCAAGCACCUUGGAUACAUCCGUAGCUCAACAUUAAAAGGCCAAGGUUAUAUCUUCCACUCCCAUCCUUCCCCUCCAGAGCCCCCCUCGGUGGAAAUGACAGAGUCAGGUAAGACACCUUCCUGGGGGAAAGCAUAUCUGCACUCAGGGAACAUGUUCAAGAAUUCAGCCUCUGCCUCUUCAGGCCUUAUAUGAUGUAUGGAUUACAGUAUAAAAAGAUCAAAUAUCUGGAGGCACAGGACUUGGAUUCUAAUCUUGGAUCCUAAUUCUGGCCCUGUUGGUUACCAGCUGUGUGAUCUUGGCUAAGUCACCUACCCUCUGUAAGCCUCAAAUUCCUCAUCUGUAAUAUGGAGGACCUACCUCACAAAUCAGAUGAUGAGAGGGAGAAUGUUUGGGGGUAUAGCCAUACUAUACAGUAUGGCUCAGGCCUAAGGUUCUUGAAUUUGCUUGUUUUUCCUCUUGGCCUAUUUUACUACAGGUUAAAAAUCUGUUAUCUGGCCAGGUGCAGUGGCUCACACCUGUAAUCCUAGCACCUUGGGAAGUCAAGGUGGGUGGAUCACUUGAGAUCUCAAGUUUGAGAUCAGCCUAGGCAACAUGGUGAAAACCUGUUCUACAAAAAAUACAAAAAUUAGCCGGGUGUGGUGGGGCACACCUGUAGUCCCAGCUGCUUGGGAGGCUGAGGUGGGAGGAUCGCUUGAGCCCAGGAGGCGGAGGUUGCUGUGAGCCAAGAUGGCACCACUGUACUCCAGCCUGGGUGAUAGAGCCAGACCUUGUCUCAAAAACCAAAACAACGACAACAAAAUCUCUCUUAUCUACAAUUCCAAAAUGCAAAAGCAUCUGAGAAACAAUAUUUUUUUGUAAUUCAUUUGGCUGCAAAACUUGUACUGAAUUGAUGAGUCCAUUUAUAGACUUUAUCCCACUUAUGAUGAAUAUUCAUCAGUUUUACUGCAGAAAUAAUAACGUGUUUGACUUGAGAAUGUUGUCUCAGUUACCUCUGGGGGUGUCAAAUACUGCAUGAGAUAUUCUGAAUUAUGAAACUCAUCUGGCCCCAUGAGUUUUGCUUAACAAGUUAUGGACUUAUAUUCUAGGAGUAUAUCCUAAUCUAUACUCAUUGAUGUAUCACCUGCAUGAUUUUGUCAUAUCCUUCUAACACCUGUAUUAAUACUUGCUUCAUACACUUUAGUUGAGUCCAUUUUUAUUUACUUUUCCAAAUGAACCUUGUUUAAAUGCACAGUGAAAAAUACCUAAUUAUUAAUAAAAAUGUUUGUCUACAUGACAUUUCAAAGCAUCCUGCUUAUCACAGUGAAAUGCACCCCACACUUUAAGCAACAGUCAUCUCAAACUAGCACAACGGGUUAGCUCUUAAAUAGUUGGAAUGCAAGCAAUAAGGGUGACAUCUGUGAGGUGGACUCUUCUUUGAGGUUUUCAGUUAUAAAUAUUCAGCAGUACAAUUCCACCAAAUGCUGGUUGCAUUCCUGCUGUGAACACGACACUGCUUAACCACAUAAGCUAUGAUGUUUUGUUGGAAAACCACAAACAGCCAGUAAAGAUGGCUGAUGGAGCGCCACUCAGAACAGCUUACCUAUGAUAAGUUCUUUCACAGACAUUCAUGUCCAUUUCCCUCGUUCACCAACAGGAGAGGUAGUAUUAGAAGAAUUUAAAACAAAAAACCAGGCCCACACGGAUUGAGAGCUUGACCCAAGAUCUCACAAGUUCCAGGCAGAGCUGAGAGUCCUGGAAUUCAGGUCCCUGCUGCUGACCUGGACAUGCCUCUGCUACAUAAAGCCACAGUCUUUCCUGCUCAGGGCACUGCUGACGCCACUUUCUGCCCUGGUUUAUACGUUAAUAUUCACAAAAGCUGCUGGGAGCCUGGACUUUCAUAAAACCAGCCUGCUCUCGGACUAAAAUACCCCCCUGUGGCCUAGUUACGAUCCUUUCCUGUUCUCCAUUAAAAAGCUCCGCAGUGGCUGAAGGGGUCUCACAAGGCUUUUAGAGGUUUAGCAAAUCUUCAAAAUGGACCAAGAAGAAUUGGUAACUGUCUUAGCAUUUUCCACAAAGUUAGAGAAACAGCAGUUAGUGGAAACAGGGCAAGGCCCAGAUAAUCUGUUCCAAGGCCACAUAUGACAUCAUAAUUUAGCCUUUUGGUAAUCAAAAAUUUCCCAAUGAUCCGAACAAGUAAAGGAAAAUCCCAACCCACCUGUAUUAGUCCAUUCUCACAAUGCAAUAAAGAACUGCUCGAGACUGGGUAAUUUAUAAAGGAAAGAUGUUUAAUUGAUUCACAGUUCCGCAUGUCUGGGCAAGCCUCAGGAAACUUACAGUCAUGGCAGAAGGGGAAGUAAAUAUGUCCUUCUUCACAUGAUGGCAGGAAAAUAACGCAGAG